CCGGAACCCGAGGCCCGGCCUGGGGCGCGGCUGCUGGGCGCUAGGCCCGCGACGCUGAGGUGCGCGCGCCCCGGGCGGGAGGAGGGGCUGCACCGCCUGGCGAAUGGGAGGGGGACUGGCAGGCUCUCCCUUCCCAAGGGAGGUCGUCCUGUCGCCCUAGACUAAACCCAGGAAGGCUUUUAAAAGAAGCAGAGUCUCCGCGGGGGGAAGCUUGUUCCCUGAGAGGUGGCCGCAGACGAACCCACUGCUCAGUCUGGCAUCCCGAAGCCGCUCCGCUCCUGGCUCUCCCCGCUGUUCCUGCGCGCAGCGGGGGCAGUGCCCCCACACCCACGCGUGAUGGGAAGGCCGGCCUGGGGGUGGGAAGGCCCACCGAAAUAGAUGGUCCCCACACCUCACUGCUUCCUUGGAUGUGGCUAUUUUUUAUGCCAGUGUUCUCCUGCUCUGACCCUACUUGAACUUGACCGCAACCGGCCCCGCCUUGCAGGCCACCCUCCCGCAGCAGAAAACUGUGCGGAGCUCGCGCUGUCCUCGCCUCCGCUGACCCCACCUCCAUGUCCUCACAGACACUAUUUUUUCACAACACAGCUCAGAUCCCACCUUCUUCAUGAGGUUAUUCAACAAACACUAUUAAACUUGUAAGAUGUACCAGAUCCUGAGUUGGAGGCUGAGAGGAGGACAAGAAAACUGCUCCCGUAGCCUAGAGGGAGGGAGAGUCGCUUAAACCACCUGAUGCAGAAUGCUGAGUGCGGAGACCAGGAGGGUCCAUCUGAACCUCAGGGUCCUCUAGGAUACCCAGGACCUCGAGGGUUAAGGGAACAUCGGGUGGUGAUGGCCUCCAUGAUCCCCCAGAGAAAGGGUGUGACUUGAGUGCCUUCUUCCUCUGUGCUCCCCAGGGAGCAGCAGCAUCAGAGUGCUCCCAGGGUGCCAAAGGGACACACUGGACCAACUGGAGACCCUGGGCCCCCUGGAUUCACAGCUGACAAUGGAUUGAGGUGGGUAUAGAAGAAGUCAAGGAAAAGCCCCUGUCAUGAAGAGUUGGAUGGAGACAGGCACAGAGUGGCCGCAGGUCCAAGCAGAGUGAACAUGCGUCCAAACUGGCAGUGGCAGCCCCUAGAAGGGAGACACCAACAGCACCGAGAUCUGUGGUCUCCAGAGCUGACAUCUCCUGCACUUGCCACGUGCAGGCGCUGUGCGGGACCUCCUCUCCAUCCUGUGAGGGUCUCCCUGAACUCAGGGUCCCAAUGGAUUUCCUGGCCCCAAAGAGCCCCUGGGCACCCUGGGAAUGACAAGCUGCCGGGACACUCAGGCCAGAGAGGAAAGGUGGAGAGAACGGCUCCCAGACCCUGGAGUUAAGUCUGUCUGGCUCUCUUCUCUCAGUCACACACCCCUGCCUCUGGCUCGCAUGUCUGGAACAGGGUGUCCAUGGGGUUCAAGGGAAGGAUGUUCCUGGUCUGAGGGGCUUCCCAGGAGAGAGAGGCCUCCUAGGCACUGCUGGUUCCCCCCUAGGGAGUGAGGUGCAGCAGGAUCAAGGGACCCAUUGCCCCCCGCCAGGGUGCCCAGGCCCUCAGGAACCCCCUGGAUCAGCAGGAGAGACAGGGUGAAAAGGGCCCCAUUUGUCUGCCUGGCUGUGAUAGGGUGCAGAGUCCUGUGUGACUUCCUGGUCCUGCUGGGCCUCCAGGUGUGGCUGGAGAAGAUGGAGACCAAGAGGAGAACCCCAGAGAACCCGACCAAUCUUCUCUCCACAUGAGAGGGCUGAGGGCCCUCCUGGACCCCCUGGACUCACUGGUCCAUGGAACAGCCUGUAGCAGUGGGAGCAGAUUGGGAGCCCAGAGCUCAGGGACCCCAGGGACACUUUGGAGCCAGAGUGUGGGGAGCCAAAGGCAAUAAAGGUAGAACAGGAUUCAUGAAUCUAUAGGGACUACCUGGACCCAGUGGCACUGGUGUGAGUCAUCCCAGCCCCUGCCACUUCAGAGCAAUGAGUCUGAUCCUCUGCGUCCCUUUCCUCAGAUCAUAAACUCUUCGCCCCUGAGAAGCCCCUUCCCCUGGGAGGCCCCCACUGUCCCACUGCCAUAACCUUGGGAUGCUCAUCUGGGCCUCUGCCCCUGCAAUAACCCCACCUCCUGAAGCGAUGUCACCUAUUUCUCUUCCUCUUUCAGGGUCCACAAGAUCCCCUGGGAGGUGUUGGGGCCCUGGGUCCCCCUGGAGAGAAGGAGAGUCAGGAUCUCCAGGAAUCCAGGGUGAGCCGGGUGUCAGGGUCUUGGUUUUCCUGGAGACCCUGGCCCCCCAGGAGAAGGUGGCUCAUGACCAGGACAGUGUUAACGGUGACUAUGGCAAGGAUGGUGAGCCAGUACAGCCCGUGAGUGACCAAUGUCCCUGCCACCCCCACUGAGCUCCAGCCUUCAGCCCCUUACCCCUCUUUUCUGUGCCCUACUCCUGAGGGGUCCCUUAGCUGGAGGCCAACACUCACCCACCCCAAUUCCUCUCAUUCUGUGGAUCCUCUGGUCCCACUGGGGAGAAUGGACUACCUGGACCACAUGGAAAGCAGGGUCAGCUAAGAAUAGCCAUGACUCAAGGGUCAGCUAAGAAUAGUCAUGACUCAAGGGUCAUUUAGGACACAGGAAGAUACCAGAUGAGGAAACUCUCCCCAAGUCCUAAACUCAUUCACAAAUUAGAACACAUAGGUCCAGCCCAGGCACAGUGGCUGAAGCCUGGAAUCCUCCCGCUUCCUGCUUCGGGAGACCAAGGCAAGAGGAUCUCUCGAAGUGUGAGUUGGAGGCCAGCUUGGGCGACACAAUCAGGAAAAGCAAGUGGCCACCAGGUGGCGCCCAAGAACUGGGCCCGAGUUCCCUGGGAGGAAUCUGCACGCAGCCCUGGGAUGGCACAGGGAUGCCUCACGGGACACCUGGCCUCGUCCUGGUAGCCCCUUGCUUGCAUUUCCCGGCCCUGGGGUGUCCUCCCCGACUGCACAUGCAUGUAGAGACCAUUCCUCCUUCUCCAAAGAGGGAUUUGGAACAAUUCUCACAUGACCUGACGAGGGACAGUGGCUGUGCUCAGGGUCCCUCUUUUGUCCUCAGAGCAUGACCAGGCCUGUGGCUCUUGCUCAUUGCCCAAGAGCAUGGGAGGUUGCCCGUGGCAAGGCCCUGGAGGACCCUGCUGUGCUGCCUGGGACCAGGAGGCCCGGCUGCCUUCUCCCAGCACCUCUCCCAGUUAGGGUACUGUGCAGGAAAUGGGUGCAGAGGCCAUAGUGGUGGCUGCUCCUGGGGUCCCAGCAGCUCUAGCUGAGGCAGGAGGAACCAGGGAGCCCAGGAGGCUGAGGCCCCUGUCCUACUGCUCUGGUCGUGCUGCAGUCUCUGUCACCACCAACAACUGCAGUGAGGUGAGCCACUGGGCUGCAGGCUCUAGCCUCCAGCCUGUGACAGAUGCCUCCUCUUUCUGACUCCUCCUGUAGCAGGGCACGGAGAAGCUCUCGCUCAUCGCUGCCUCCUACCACUCCGAACAUGCUGCAGUCUCGUUGACCACGCUGCAGUCUUGGUGGCCACCACCAACUGCAGGGAGCCUGGCCAGGUGCCGCAAGUUGCAGCCUCCACCUCCUCCUCUAAGUCGGGCUUGGAGCAGCAGCGGGAGCAGUCACAGAAGAGGCUGGAAUGGUGGAAUGCACCCUCAGUAUGCAUUAUAUAUAGAGGUUUCGGCAAUGAGGGCCUGGACUUUGUGUUCUGAUUGGAUGGGGGAAACCUCUAGGCUUUAUCUUCAUGCCCUGAUUGGUUAUCCUAAGAGUUGCUCUCAUCCAGUCUUCUUUAUAAGUGGUCAUCUUUGUAAGUUCAUGCCCACUGGGAGUUACUGAAGUUGUGAAUGAUUACAUUUAAACUUAUCCUGUAAUUUUAGUCUGAUUUAUUAAUUCCACCUAUCUCCUUAAGCAAAUUAUUCUCUAUAGUGAUGACCCAAGCAAAUUCCUGUCCCAAGAUGGUAUCAAGAUGAUACCCAAGUUCCUCUCCAGAAUGGUAUCUGGAUAUAUGUGGAGGGAAAUAUUUUUUCUAGGCCUGUAUUAAAUAUGGCACUAAAGCUUAGUGGCUUAAAACAAUACACUGUUAUUAUCUCACAGCUUCUGUGAAUAAGUAGUUCAGGAGAGUGUAGCUGGGUGAUUCUUGCCAAGAGUCUCAUAAGGUUGCAGUCAAUCUGUUGGUGAGAAUUGUAGUUACUUGAAGACUUGGAGUUGAAGAAUUUAUAUCAAAGAUGGCUUACUUAUGGCAAUUGGAUGGAAGCCCCAGUUUCAGAAUGGCUGCUGGCAACAGGUCUUUUUACUUGCCACAUGGACCUCUCCAUAGGCUGACUGAAUGUCCUCCCAAUGUGUCAUCUGGCUUUCUCCAGUGCAAAAGAUCAAAGAAGAGAGUAUGAAGGAACCCGUAAUGCUCUUUAUAAUUUUGUCACAGACCGUCACUUCUGCCAUACUCUAUUGUUUAGAAGUUAGUCAUUAAGUCCAGCCCACACUCAAAAGAACGAGAAUUAACCUCCACCUUUGGAAGAGAGGCUAGUCAAAGCACUUGUGGACAUGUUUUGAAACCACAAAGGGGUAUGGCUGCCAGUCUCCAAGAUGGCCGCCAGUGAUUCUCAUCAGCUGUUAUUAAUACAUUUGUAUAGUCCCUUCCCACAAGAAAAAAGAGUUGAUCUGUUUAAUUAGUAUUAUUUUGUUGAAAUGACAGAGUCUGACUUGCAAGUUUAGGUCAUAAGAAGAAUUUUGACUUCUGCCUUAUUCUCUAUUGGAUCAAUAUCCCUAGGGGAAGCUAGAUGCAAUGUCAUGAAAUCAUUCAAACAGUCCCAUGGAACAAUCCAUCUAGCAAGGAACUGAUAUCUCCUAGCAAUAGCUGGCAUUAACUUACAAGUCGUAUGAGUGGGCCAUCUUAGAAUUGGAUUCUUCAGUCCAAAUCAAGUCUUCAGAUAACUGUAGCCCUGGCUGACAUCUUGAUUACAUCCUCAAGAGAGACCCUGAGCCAGAAUCACUCAGUUAAGCCACUGAGUUCUUUUUGCCAAAAACUUUUUUUUUACCAAGUUCUUUUUGCCACCAACUUUAUUGAGGUAUAAUUGACAAUUAAGAUUGUAUAUAUUUAAGGAAUACAACUUGAUGAUUUGAUAUACACAUACAUUGUGAAAUAAUCGUGAUAAUUAGGUUAACAUAUUCAUUACUUCACAUAAGUACCAUUUUCGUGUGUGUGUGUGUGUGUGUGUGUGUGUGUGUGUGUGUGUGUGGUGAGAACACAUGAGAUGUAUCCUCUUAGAAAAUUUCAAGUAUACAAUAUAUUAUUGUUAACUACAGUCAUAUUAUUGUAUACUAUGUCUCCAGAACUUAUUCACCUUGCGUAACUGAGAUGCUGUACCCUUGACCAAUGUCUCCCCCUUUUCUUCUCCCUCCAGCCCCUGGUAACUACCCUUCUACUUUCCAGUUCUAUACAUUUGACUCUUUUAGAUUCCACACAUAAGUCAAAUUUUUGACCCUUAGGAGCUGGGUGAAUAAUAAAUAUUUAUUGUUAUUUUCAGCCUUAUGAUUUUAAGUUAAUUUGUUAUGCAGUAAUAGAAGUUGCCACAUGAAGCUAUGACACUGGUUAACUCAUUUAUUCAGUAAACAUUUGCUAAGAGCAGACUAAGUGCCAGGAUCAAUUUUAUAAUUGGGGGUACAGGGUUAAGUCAAAAUGGCAGACUAGAAGCAGAUCAUGUGCACUGCUGUCAUGGAGAGGAAACAAAAUGGCUAGUGAACACUGAUCUUGCCAUGUGAUCCCCUAAGAAACCACAUCAGCAUCCAUGAAGGCAGCAAGGGGACACAGAGAGGAGAGAGGAGUGAAGCUGAGCAGCCCAUCUGUGAUCAGCAUGGAGCUAGAAGAAGCUCCCAAACAUAGGGAAAGAGUAAGUGAUUGAGAGCCCCUGGGGGAUUCACAGUCUUCACAGGGACCUGUGCAAGCCUUGGAACAGGAGAAUCUCUUUGACCCACUCCCUGCACCUCUAAGCCAAUGCAGAGAGCCACCCAGAGUUUUGUGGAGGCAACUCUCAAGUCCCUAGGGACUGCUGGAAGCCUUGGACCCUGGAACAGACCAGCACCAGUGCCAUAGCCCCAACAGAGGCUGCAGUCAUGGUACCCGAGGGCAGUAAGAUUGCUCCACCCCAAAUCACUAGACAAAGUUCAGCACCAGCCUCUGGCCCAAUGGUCCUGCUUCUGUUUUCACUUCACCAACAGGUUCAGCCUCCUGUUCCUCCAGGAAACACCCAAACAACAGGAUAGGCAACUUCACCCAAUCCCUGCCAGUUGUAGCCAGGCAGGCCAUACCUGCUAGAGCUUCCAGCCCCGUGGUACCACUUCUGUCUGAAUUCUGCUGACAAGCACAGUCUCUUGUUCUCCUAGGAAACACCUUAAUGGCAUGGUGAGUGACUCCACCCACUGCCACUGCUCAAGGCCAGCAGCCCACACCUGCUAGAGUUUCCAGCCCAACAGUCCUGCUUUUAUAUGAACUCUGCAGGUGGGGGCAACUCCAUGUUCCCCUGGGAAGCAGCUGGACAGCAGAUUAGGUGACCCCACUCAUCCCUGCAACUCCUAGCCAAGCAGUUCUUGCUGGCUUGGGUGGUGCCCAAGCAGUGGGGGAGUCCUCACUCUUGCAUCACUAAAAGAAGUGAGAUGCCCAAGUUCACAGGUCAGUGGAGGAGUGGGUUGUGCCUCCCUCUGUACAGCCAUUCCGGAAAGGAUAUGACCUGUUUGCCAACUGUGGCCCCUGCAUGAGGAAGCCCCAUGGACGAGAACACCUAAUAAAAGAAAUACAGGCAUGGAGUCAGUGAUCAGAGGGGGCUCUUCCAAGGCUUAGGGGUGGACAAGGUGAGGGGGUCAUCUCUACCCCACCCCCUAAAAAGCACUAUGCUAACUUGAGGAAAACACAAAAGAGCUGUGCAGCUGAGAAAAGCCUAUCUGCCUGUCCGCUGGCUAACACUUUUAAGUGCCACCUACUGGAUCACAGCAGAAAAUACAAUACAAAAAUAUUUUGCCAGUACACAGCACCUGUGAAAACUAAGGCAAAGAUUAAGCAACAAAUAAACAUUCUGUACAUACUCGUGACCCUCUGAAAACACCCUAAAAAGAAGCCAACUGACUGUACUCAACUUACAUCACAGUUAAAGGAACACUAACCCUUACACAUGAAAAAGAAUCGAUGCAAAAACUCUGGCAACUCAAAAAGCCAGUGUGCCCCCUUACCUACAAACAAACACACUAGUCCCCCAGAAAUGGUUCUUAGCCAGAUUGAGAUGACUGAAAUGAUGGAAAUAAAAUUCAAGAUCUGGAUGGCAAGGAAGAUCGAUGGGAUCAAAGAGAAAGUUGAAUCCAAGGAACCCAGUAAAACAAUCCAGGAGCUGAAGGAUUAAACAGCCAUUUUAAGAAAGAACCAGCUGGGUGUGAUGGCUCACGCCUGUAAUCCCAGCACUUUGGGAGGCCAAGGCGAGUGGACUACUUGAGGUUAGGAGUUUGAGACCAGCCUGGCCAACAUGAUGAAACCCUGUCUCUACUAAAAUACAAAAAUUAGCUGGGCGUGGUGGCACACAUCUGUAAUCUCAGCUACUUGGGAGGCUGAGGCAGGAGAAUCACUUGAACCCGGGAGGUGGAGGUUGCACAGGCUGGAGUGCAGUGGCACGAUCUCGGCUCACUGCAAGCUCUGCCUCCCAGGUUCCCACCAUUCUCCUGCCUCAGCCUCCCGAGUAGCUGGGACUACAGGUGCCCGCCACCACGCCCAGCAAAUUUUUUGUAUUUUUAGUAGAGACGGAGUUUCACCAUGUAAGCUAUGAUAGUCUCCAUCUCCCGACCUCGUGAUCCGCCUGCCUUGGCCUCCGAAAGUGCUGGGAUUACAGGUGUGAUGGCUCACGCCCAGCAUUUUUUUUUUUUUUUUUUGAGACAAAGUCUCGCUCUGUUGCCCAGGCUGGAGUGUAAUGGCACAAUCUCGGCUCACUGCAACCUCCCCCUCCCAGGUUCAAGCAAUUAUCCUGCCUCAGCCUCCUGAGUGGCUGGGAUUAUAGGCACCCACCACCAUGCCCAGCUAAUUGUUGUAAUUUUAGUAGAGAUGAGGUCUCACCAUCUUGGUUCGGCUGGUCUCAAACUCCUGACCUCAGGUGAUCCACCCACUUCAGCUUCCCAAAGUACUGGGAUUACAGGAGUGAGCCACCAUGCCCAGCCCCACAAAAAUUUUUAAAAAAGAAUUAAAAAGUGAAUAAAAUCUUUUGAGAAAUAUAGGACUAUGUAAAAAGACCAAACCUACAUUUCAUUGGCAUUCCCAAAAGAGAAGUAACUUGGAGAAUAUAUUUGAAGACAUAGUCCAUGAAAAAUUUCCCAAACUUGAUAGAGAGGGGAACAUACAAAUUCAAAAAAUACAGACAACCCUACAGAUACUACACAAGAUGACCAUCCCCAAGGCACAUAGUCAUCAGAUUCACCAAAGUCAAAGUAAAAGAAAGACAUCUUAAAGGCAGCUAGAGAGAAAGGUCAGGUCAUCUGUAAAGGGAACCCCAUCAGGCUAGCAGUAGACGUUGCAACAGAAACUUUACAAGACAGAGGAGAAUCAAGGUUUAUUUUCAGCAUUCUUAAAGAAAAUAAUUUCCAAGCAAGAAUAUUGUGUCCCACCAAACUAAGCUUCAUAAGUGAAGGAGAAAUAAAAUACUUUUCAGAUAAGCAAGUACUUAAAGGAGUGCUAAACAUGAAAACAAAGAACUGAAACAUGCUCCUUCAAAAACACACUCAAGGACAUAGCCUACAGAGAAUGUAAAGCCACCACACCACUAAGUCUACAAAAUAAACAGCCAACAACAUAAUGACAAGAUCAAAAUCUCAUAUAUCAAUACUAACCCAGAAUGUAAAUGGUCUAAAUGCCCGACUUAAAAGGGAUAGCAUGUCAAGUUGGACAAAAAGACAAGCCCCGAUAGUCUGCUGUCUUCAAGACACCCAUCUCUCGUGUGAAGAUACUCACACGUUCAAAGUAAAAGUAUAGAGUAGAUCUACCAAGCAAACAGAAAACAAAAAAGAGCAGGAGUCAUUAUUUUUAUAGCAGAUAAAACAGAUUUUAAACCAACAACAAUCAGGAAGGAUAAAGAAGAGCAGUACAUGAUGAUAAAAGGUUUAAUUCAACAAGAAGACCUGACCAUUCUAAACAUACACGUACCCAAUAUAGGAGCACCCAGAUUCAUAAAACAAAUUUUUCUUGACUAACAAAAAGACUUAGACAGUCACACAAUAAUAGUGGGGGACCUUAACACCCCACUGGCAGUGUUAGAUCAUCAAGGCUGAAAACUAACAAAGAAAAUCUGGGCUUAAACUCGACAUGUGACCAAUUGAACCUAAUAGAUAUCUACAGAG
rnacentral:lncRNA from 10 species